rnacentral:tRNA from 1 species
GCCCAGUUGGUGAAAUUGGUAUACACGUAGCGCUUAGAACGCUAUGAGGCAACUCGUGCAGGUUCGACCCCUGUACUGGGCA